rnacentral:rRNA from 1 species
AACGAACGCUGGCGGCAUGCCUAACACAUGCGAGUCGAACGAGACCUUCGGGUCUAGUGGCGCACGGGUGCGUAACGCGUGGGAACCUGCCCUUAGGUUCGGAAUAACUCCCCGAAAGGGGUGCUAAUACCGGAUAAUGUCUUCGGACCAAAGAUUUAUCGCCUUUGGAUGGGCCCGCGUUGGAUUAGCUAGUUGGUAGGGUAAAAGCCUACCAAGGCGACGAUCCAUAGCUGGUCUGAGAGGAUGAUCAGCCACACUGGGACUGAGACACGGCCCAGACUCCUACGGGAGGCAGCAGUGGGGAAUAUUGGACAAUGGGCGAAAGCCUGAUCCAGCAAGGCCGCGUGAGUGAUGAAGGCCUUAGGGUUGUAAAGCUCUUUUACCCGGGAUGAUAAUGACAGGACCGGGAGAAUAAGCUCCGGCUAACUCCGU